CCACUUCUAAAGAUUAAAAAAACCCCUACGAUUAAAAACCUCAGGUCCCUCAGGCAAUCAUACCAGAUAUUGAAACAAAGCAAUAACAUAAGGACUGCAGUAUUCAUUUUAUUUUUAUAUUAUUUAUUUAUUCUUCCUUAGUUUCUUGAGAUUAUCAUCCGCUGAGGGUGGAAGGGGAGUGAGCAGACACACUCAGGAGGUGUCUUGAGAUUAUCAUCCGCUGAGGGUGGAAGGGGAUAGAGCACACACUCGGAAGGUGUCUUGAGAUUAUCAUCCGCUGAGGGUAGAGCUGAGGGUGGAAGGGGAGUGAGCAGACACUCGGGAGGUGUCUUGAGAUUAUCAUCCGCUGAGGGUGGAAGGGGAUAGAGCACACACUCGGAAGGUGUCUUGAGGCUCAGGG
rnacentral:lncRNA from 1 species